rnacentral:rRNA from 1 species
UGGGGAAUAUUGCACAAUGGGCGCAAGCCUGAUGCAGCCAUGCCGCGUGUAUGAAGAAGGCCUUCGGGUUGUAAAGUACUUUCAGCGAGGAGGAAGGCGUUGUGGUUAAUAACCGCAACGAUUGACGUUACUCGCAGAAGAAGCACCGGCUAACUCCGUGCCAGCAGCCGCGGUAAUACGGAGGGUGCAAGGGUUAAUCGGAAUUACUGGGCGUAAAGCGCACGCAGGCGGUCUGUCAAGUCGGAUGUGAAAUCCCCGGGCUCAACCUGGGAACUGCAUCCGAAACUGGCAGGCUAGAGUCUUGUAGAGGGGGGUAGAAUUCCAGGUGUAGCGGUGAAAUGCGUAGAGAUCUGGAGGAAUACCGGUGGCGAAGGCGGCCCCCUGGACAAAGACUGACGCUCAGGUGCGAAAGCGUGGGGAGCAAACA